ACCAUUCGUAAAAUACAUACGAUCAGCAUCUCAACUCCCAUAUUUUCCUCAAGUCGUCAUAUUCUCACAAAAAUUUGCCAACAUGAAAACCAUUCUUCCUGCCCUUGUCUUGAUUGUCGCCAUCGCCUACGUUGCGGCUACAGGAUCAGUGGGCGAAGGACUUCCUGCUAGACAAGACCAUGGAGAAGAUUCUGCUGCACAUCCAACAAUGCGACGAUUUGCGGGUCAUGAGGCUUCCUCUCUACUUUCAGAUGAUUGUGAAGUUCAUUGUACGGAUGACUGUCGGGCUGCCUAUUUGUGUUGAUGACGUUGUACUACCAGGUUCAGGCUGUUCGUGGGAUGGUAACAAACGAGUUUUAUUUUCCAAACAUUACACUUUCAGAAUUCCAAAUUUUAAAGUCAUUCAUUGAGUAUUUUUUCUUUUGAUCUGAUUUUUUCUGUACAAUUAGCUACGCAUAUAUUGAUUAAUUAAUAAAAUUUCAAAAUUUGCAAACGUA